rnacentral:rRNA from 1 species
GACGGGUAAGAGACGCCCUUUUUGAGACUAUCACCUCGUAUCGAAGUGACCUGAAUCUGGUUCUUUUAGACAUGUGCACACUCUGCUCAAUCCACUCUACACCUGUGCACUUAUUGUAGGCCUUGUAUGUGAAGAUGGGCAUUAAUGUCUGUUGGAAUCAUCUUGGCUUAUGUUUAUUAUAAACUCAUUAUAAAGUAUUAGAAUGUCUAUUAUGGAUGUGUAAUGCAUCUUUAUAUAUAUAACUUUCAGCAACGGAUCUCUUGGCUCUCGCAUCGAUGAAGAACGCAGCGAAAUGCGAUAAGUAAUGUGAAUUGCAGAAUUCAGUGAAUCAUCGAAUCUUUGAACGCACCUUGCGCUCCUUGGUAUUCCGAGGAGCAUGCCUGUUUGAGUGUCAUGAAAUUCUCAACCUAUCAUCCUUUGCGGGAUUUGUUAGGAUUGGACUUGGAGGCAUUUGUCGGUUGCAUGACUGGCUCCUCUUAAAUGCAUUAGCUUGAUUCCUUGUGGAUUGGCUGUUGGUGUGAUAAUGUCUACGCCGCAACCAUAAAACAUUUUUGGAUAAGCUUCUAAUUGUGUCUUUGAUACUUUUAAUGAUCUCUCUGACCUCAAAUCAGGUAGGACUACCCGCUGAACUUAAGCAUAUCAAUAAGCGGAGGAA